CAGAAAUUAAAGUGUAUACUGCCAGUCACUCUUAGAACAGAGGUGACUCUGUGGCGAAACCAACCUCGCCACUGUGCACUGGAGAAGCCUGGUUGCUCGCCUGCUCCCUUUAGACCAUGGCCCAGCAUUUAAAACCUUUUUUUUUCCCAGUAGAAAGGCGUAUUCAUGCUUUUCUGCCUGGGGUUUGGUAGAUUCAAUCUACCGAACCAAGUACCGAACGACCGACCACCUGGGAACUGGAGUGUGCCGUCAAUUGACCACCCAGAAGCUGCGGUUAACCACAGUUAAUUGACGAAUGCUGGGUGGCCUUUGUUCGUUUGCCGAACACGUGGCAGCGGCCAUUUUAACUCCCGAACGGCCAGCGGUGUUCAGCGCCCAAACUAUGGAACUAGAAACGGACACUUAUUUGCGCGAACACCGCUGAGCCGCCAGCCUCCUUACCUCUGCAUUCGGUAGUGGAACUGAAUGACUGUUCAUUCGGUAGUUUGACUGUAUGAACAGCAUCACCCCAGAUAGCUAUGCCAUGGAGCCUAUUCGUGUAACGAAAGACUAUGGAAAAGACUUUGGCUCCAUGGCGAUUGAACUGUAUGUAUGUGAUCUGAGCGCCAUUCGGUAAUAAUGUGCGCUCAGAUCUAAGCUAUCUGGGGAUAUGUAAAAUGUAUGGUGUUUUGUUAAUUAUUUGCAACAGUGGGUAUUUUUGAGUCUUUUUAUUAUCAUGUGCUCAAUGGAGUUUUGCUUCUGUCCUGGGAGAUAAUUGGAUUACUUCCCAAUUAUCUCCAGGAUAGAGAGAAAGGAUUGUGAUGUAUUGUGGGUGUGUUCUGUGGUGUAUGUCUGUGAUUGGUUACUGUCCAAUAUGGUUCCCAGUCUUCCAUCUGGUCCCCUAGGGGAAUGUCCACCGGGUGGAAGACCUGCAUAAAAGCCGGGCAGGUAGCCCCAGUAAACCAGUUCUGCUUGACCUCAAAACAUAGUGUCGUCUCGUUAUUGGGGGAAUUGGAUUGUAUGCUGAUUGCCAGGAGUGUAAGCUGAUUGUAUGCUUUUCCUGUUCGGCUGUUUCCAGUGUUUGUGUGUUUCCUGUUCAGGAGUUGGCGGAUUCAUGUAGUUUGCCGUUCGGGAGAUUGUGGAUUGCAGUAGCUGCCUGUGCAUCUGAAAGG